AACCAGCCGUCAGAUCGCGGUGCCCGGUCAGCUUACGAACAACCAUAUUUGUUUGGCACUGAAGUUUCGUCAGUGUCGUAUUUUCUGUUGAAGUGCGCAUAAAGUAAAUGUUAAACUUUUAAUCUAAAUUGCUAACUUGAUAUCGCAUAUAAAAGGCCGUAAUAUUUAUUGACAUCAAAGAGCAGUAUCGCAGAGAAGGGAACGCGGCGGGUGGGAAGGAUAUAAAACUGCGACCAUAGUCAGCGGUAGUUGCGCACAGCACGUGUGCAAUGGCGGCCGCCAUGUCAAGGCGAGGCGUCACGCGAGGCGUGCGUGCGUGUUAGUGAAUUAACGAUGUGUUUUUAAGGAACCCGUGGUGUUAGCGCCUGCGCAGUCUCAUUCGUGGAGUAGUAUAUUUGGAUAGUUUUAUCUAUGGCUGCUGUUGUGACUUCCAAACAACCCAAGGCAACUGUUUUACCCCUGUCCUUCGCGGCUUUGUGGAUAUAUCAGCGUGCAUCAAUGUGCAGUGUUCUCCCCGGCGCCGAUUUACCAUUUCGAGGUUUUUUUAACCACUUCCUCAAAAGGACGCCCUUUGGUCGAAGUCAACGAAAAGCUCUCAAUCAAGAUUGCUGACCUGACGAAGAUCUCGAAGGAGGAAUCUGUAAAAAUACAUGCUGUGCUAAUAAAUGCUUUUAGCAAUUUUA